AGACGCAGCAUCCCUGGCUAGAGAACAGCAUAGCACCAAAUGGCUGGUUUCAUUUAUGCUAAGCAGCAGACGUCCACCACUCCCACUGAAGCAGCGGCAGGUUUUCGCACAACCAAGGCUGGUACCUGCGCUAGGGGUCUUCCUGCACAGGCUCGACAUAAAAAUGAGGAAAAACCGGUGCAUUUCAUCCCUGGCAUCUCCAACUCCAGGCCUAGCCAACAAGUUCCGGUUCCGGAGCAGCAGUGCAACUCCAAGCCUGCGUCAUCCUCCUCCCCUCCAGUGGGAUUCAUCAGGGAGGCGUUGCAGCACCAAAAGGCUCAGCUGAAGGAAAAAAGUCAAAAAACACGCCAAAAGGUUGCUUCGCUUAUACGGGGAAAAUAGGAUAAAGAGAAGGAUGUAUAGAAGUUGAACUAGUCAAGGUAGUAUGGAUGCCUACUGCAUUUUUUUAUAGAUAAAGGAAUUUUUAUUCUGGUCUCUGUAAGAGUUUUGCACUCAACCAUUCAUUAUUACAAUGUUUAGCCUCGAGCUGAUGAAGAAAAGCUCCCAAAAAGCAUAAAAAGUGCGGGAGACUAUAUAAAUAGAUUAAGUUCUAAGCC